GCAGGAAAUAGUUUAAGAAGAAUUUCAGUUUU
rnacentral:tRNA from 1 species